rnacentral:sRNA from 1 species
CUUGUCUUGUGUGUGCUGUGCUCAUCUCUUCUUUCUCUUGUUACAGCUAGUAUCAUCUGACACAGCUGUGCUGCAGCUGAAACUGUUUUUAAUAUAAUGAUUAUAUUCACUUCUCAUCUUUCUCAAUACAAUUUCAUCUCACUCUACUGUCAAGUUACUCUAAAAUUAUAUACAGACUGAGAUCCAUUACUGAAAUGUCUAGUCUGUUCUGAAAUUGUGACUGACUGAGGUUUUCUGAUUGCUUUAUUAAUCUCAUUUUCUUAUUGCAUUUUAUGAUUAACUUUUUCUCUAUAUUCUAUAUUCAAUAUUUUGAGGUUCUGUAUAUCUAUUUUAUCAAUACUGUCAAUUUUACUCUAUCUAUAUAUUGAUACUUAUUGUUCUUAAUCUCUUUCUUUUUUUAUUAUUAUUAUUAUUCUUCCAUUAUACUCGUAUGCAAGCGGUGCUUAUGACGAGUCCUUGUGUGAUGUUAAAUACAGGCAAGAGUUGGUUUUACAGGAGGAAUGCUUAGUGUUGAACGACGCCAAGACAUAACAGGAACAUAGGAAAAUUAAUGAAAGACAGGAUUUGGUAC